rnacentral:rRNA from 1 species
UACAGAGGUCUCAAGCGUUGCUCGGAUUCAUUGGGCGUAAAGGGUGCGUAGGCGGCGCGGUAAGUCGGGUGUGAAAUCUCGGAGCUUAACUCCGAAACUGCAUUCGAUACUGCCGUGCUUGAGGACUGGAGAGGAGACUGGAAUUUACGGUGUAGCGGUGAAAUGCGUAGAUAUCGGGAGGAACACCUGCGGCGAAGGCGGCUUCCUGGACUGCAACUGACGCUGAGGCGCGAAAGCUAGGGGAGCAAACAGG